UUCAUCCUAUUUACUUCAGACCAUUUCUCCAGUUUGUCCAGAUCAUUUUGAAUUCUAAUCCUACAAUUAUACUCUAUAUUUAUACUCCUAUAAUCCUAUAAUUAUACUCUCUAUGCCAUUACCUAAAUCAUUGAUGAAGAUAUUGAACAGAACUGAACAGAAUUGAGUGCGGGACCCCACUCAUUAUGCCCUUCCAGCAUGACUGUGAACCGCUGAUAACUACUUUGUGGGAAUGGUUUUUCAGCCAUGGGAAUAUAAUGCUCAUGAUUGACAGUCCUGGAGACUAGAUUCCUUUAUUAAUAAUAUCCACAAAACAGGUGUAGAUAGCAGCAAUACAAGCUUUUUUUCAUACUCCUCCCUCCCCAUAACCUCGUGCUGGAAGGGCCACGUCUUGGAGUCAGGGGGAUAUUCCAGUCUCCAUGCCCAUUCAGACCGUGGCAAUUGCCAUCAUGAUUUUUGUGGUGCAUACAGUGGCUCAGAUUCUCAAAAUGGAAAAUUGGGGCAUCUUGAUAUUGUUAUGGAAGAAGGAGUGGAGAAGCGGAACAUGCGAGUUCUCUGAAAAACCUCCUCUCAGCUGUCACAUGCCAUGCCUGUUAAGACAAGCCCCUUGGCUGAAUGCCAUCUUAAUUGCUAAAACCCUCCAGCCCUCUGUUGUGUACAUCUACCUUUGAGCUGAAGGGCUGAUUCCCAGCUCAAGGAGACAUACCUGUGAGCUAGUGCACUAAAAAUAAGAGUGUAGUCCCUGCGAUGUAAGGAAGGGCUAGUCACCUUGAAUAUGUACCUAGCAUCUCAGACAGCUGAUGACAAUCCCUACCCAAACUGCAUGUCCUGUCUAAAUCUUCCUGACCCUUCCAUGCUGGGUGCUGAAGGUUCUCCAUUGAUUAUCAAGAACAGUGAUUUUUCUAUAGAAGCCACUUCUCCCAUUUCUAAAGUGCAGUCACUCUGGUGUGAAACACAAUAACUCUAAGAGUAACAGUAAUAACAGUAAUGUUGCACAAUGAUUUAGGAUAGGAAUUAAAGACCUCAGAGGUGAUUAAAAACUGUAGGGGGUAAUUAUAGGUGGGCAGAAUAUAAUUACUCAAGAUAGAAUUAGGUUUGGAUGCAUGAUAAGACCCAAUUGACUUGUGAAAAAUGCCAGAGGAUUUUUAGUCAGAUUUUCAAUUAAGAUAUUGAUAUAGUCUAUCAGUAGUUAGAUAAGAUUACAGUUUGAUGGGGUAUGACUGUAAGAACAGAGGUGUAUAUUGUGAACUGAUCUACUGUAAUAGAGCUAUUAGAUAAUGUAGGAGGACUAAUGGGCAAAUAAAAGCGCUAUAUAAAAUAUUCCCAAUACAGAAAAUAUAUUGUUAUAGUUUAGCUAACAAUUGUAGAUAACAAAAUUGUCAUGGAUGUCUUGAGGUAGUACAAAAGAAGAAGAAGAAAUUAAAGAGCUGAUAAAUUAUUGCUCCUUGAGCCAAUUUGCUGCUAGGCAUAAUGUAUUUUAAAGAACAGGUUAAUUAGGAAACUGGAACUGAAACUAGUUGGACUUCUGGGAUCAAAUAUUAGCGGUGCUACUAAAAUUAACAUUUAUCUGAUAGUUGAAACCAGUUUCAACAUUCUGACUUCGGGCAACUUGGAAGUGAAGAAUGGAAGAGAAAAAUAGACUAGUUAUACAUAAGAAAACACAGAGAAGGAUCAGCUUUAAAACAGUACUAGUGAAAAUGUACUCUCUAAGAGCCUAAAUAUAGAUGUUCCUUUUAACCCUGACUAGUUAGGAAUGAAACUGAACAGAAAUUCCAGUUAUGUAAACCUUACAAUGGAGUAUGAAGAUAAGAACACUGAGGAAAAAUAGGAAAGUACUGUACUAGACAAAAGCAGUUAGAGUUGCACAAAGACAAUUGAAUGUACAGUACUUGGAACAAGAGUUGAUGUAAACAGUGAGUUUGCAGUAUUUUAAAAGAUAGUGGAUAAAGGAAAUGACAUGAAAGAGCUGAAGUUUUAAAUGUGUACCAUACUUUAGUAUGAUUACAAAGCUCUAAAAUUAAAAUCAUGCCAUUGGACAUCAGCUAUGUACACUGGGUACUGGAUGAGUUGCAUGCUUUACAGUGGCCUCCCUCUUGUUGUUUGUGAUGUGCAGGAGUUUAGCUGUGUAUUGCUUUUCUUAGCAAUGGGAACUGCAUGGUGAAAUUCCUGGACACUGGCUGUGUUGGAGGAAAAAUGUACUGGUACUCUAUUCCCAUCUCCACCCCAGAAUCCCAAAGUCUGCUCAAGCUCCCAGAAUCACUGAAUCUUGCUGCUACAGUUACGAACACGGACAAAGUUACCAGUGCUGACAUUUAGAUUGUCACCACUGGGCUUCUCCUAUCAAUGAAUAGCUGCAGCUAACACCUCUAUUGUUUCUACCUGUCUAUCAUUUGGAAGGUUUUCUUUGCACCCAAAAGGAUUAGAAAUUAUUUUUUUAAAUGAAAGCCUAAAUUCUGCAAAGACUGAUUGGGCUGUCAAAACGUGUUCCCCGACAAUGUAUUAGGUCAGUCCAACCCAUAUGUAUGCUGUAUGCAAGACUGAAGGGCUAGUGUUAAGGAUCCAUUAGAUUCUAGGCUAAUUCAUUUCCAGUAAAUGAAGGAAAGACAAAUUUCUGUCAAUCUGAACUCAGAACUGUUUCUCCACUUCCCUAAAAGUGACCCUAGAUGGACUAAUUCUGUAGCUGUAUUCUUCACACCACCUCAUCUCCAUCUGCAACAGUGAAAUAAAAUGAAUUAUGAGGAAUCUGGGUUUGCUGAUUAUUCUGAAACCUGCUUUUCCAAAUAGUUCUUGUGAGCAACUCCAGGCCUGGGCAGAAAGCAAUACCAUGCAUGGGCAUAUCUCCACAGCAGCAUCUCACAUUUUAUACAGCAAGUCACAACAUCCAUCCUGAUCAGUGCUUCCUGAUCAAUCAUUAUAAUCAUCAGCAUUGUGAGUAAUAAUUUCUGUGAAGUUUUCCACCUAUGGUGGUAAAGUAGAUAAAGAAAAAUGUAUAUAAACAAUUGAAGACCAUGAACUUGUUUAUGUAUGCAACUUAAAAUAAGAAUAGGGCUUUUAGAAAGUUUAAAAUUGAACAAUAUUAAAAAGAAACGUGGGUAAAUAUAAUGUAAAGGGCUUAGCUAAUAGAAUAUGCAACUUGCAAUUUAUGUAAGGUCCGGGCCCAAACUACUUGACAACAUUGCUAUUCCUGUAGGCGAUUUGUACUCAAAAUUUGCACUGAAAUCAGUGGAAGUUCAGCACCACAAUGAUUGCAGGAUUGGGCCCUGAGAGCCUGCUCUUGCAACAUUUACUCAUAUAAGUAAUCUGCAUUUAGAUGAAUAAUCCCCUAGGCCCUGAUUCUGCAAUCUGAGCUGCGUAAGCAGAACACUGUACCUGGGUAGGACCGUUGAUUUAAAAGGAAUUUUGCCUUGGGUGUUUGGAUCCACCUGCGCAAAUCAGGCUGCAGGACCAAGGCCAUAGACCUUAAGUGGUGCAUAUUCCCUGUGCUGGAUUUCUGCAAAGGGGUGAAUUUCGCUCUCGUGACUAAUGGUGGCAGCCUUGGGGUUCUUAUGAGUUCAAUUUCAGUUAAUGUAGAUUGAGCCUAGCAAAAUAUUGUGUCUCAUCAUUUUAUUCUAAGCAGUGAUUUUCUCUUCUAGCAAAUGAGACUCUAUUACUAUAUUGUGCUUGUUACAAGAUAUUAAAAAGACAAGCUAUUUUAAAAACAAUCCAUCUAGGCAUAAUAAAAGGCAUCAGAUAUGGGAUAUUUUAUGAAAAUGUUUAAUUCAACUGUUUCUUUGGAAUGUAGUAGUCAUAGUUUGGAAAUUUUAAGUUACAGUUCAGUUCUAUGUGGUUUUUAUGCUACUCAGUGACUGAGAAUACAAAUGUCAUUUAAAGUUAAGGCUUCACUGUUCAUUUGAAACAACAAUUUACAAGUGUCAUAUUGUCAUAGAAAAUAAAAAUUUCUGUAAAAAAAAUUUGCACAAAAUUUUAUGAUGGUACAAAACAUGAAGGAAUAAUAUACCAGUAAAAUGAAAUCAUUUUACUACAGAAGAUUUUUAUAGUUUUUCAAUAAAGAAAAAAAUAUGUUAUUUUACACUUUAAAAUUAUGAAACAAUCUAAAACAAUAUAAACUGAACAUUUUGUAACACUGCCUUUACAAAUUAAUAACUUUAUAAACAUAUAAUUUUUUAAAUAUAUUUAUCAGUGCAAGAUACUUUUUCAAUGUAAAGUUGCAGUAUCAUUUUUCCUUUAUUGAAGGGCAACUUUCAUUCCAACACCUUCAGAGAAAUCAAAUCAUCAGUGCUAUAUUCUUAUUUUGAUAAUAAGGGCUGGAUACCCAAGGGAGAUGUAUUCUUUUUUGUUUCUUAACAAGUUUUUCCAUUCAGAUUAGACCAAGACCAGGAGUUGAUCCAAAAUCCAUUGAAAUUACUGGAAAGACUUUGGAUCAGGCCCCCCAAAUUUGGAUUUCUUUUAUAAGGCAAUACAUGCAUGUAGGUUAAUGGAAUGUACAUUUUCUUAUCUAAGGAAGAACAGACCCUAAUGCAAUUAAAUUGCACUACUGUGAUACAAGUGCAGUGAAAACAAUUUUGAAAAACAAUCUUCUUUGGGAUAAUUAACUAGCUGCCUUGAUACCAAUAUGGUUAGAUUACUGUAUGAGUUGGACAUGAUGGAUAAAAAUCCUGGCCGCAUUGGAAUCAAUGGGAGUUUUGCCAGUGAUUUGAAUAAGGGCAGGAUUUCAUCCUAAGUCUCUACCUUUUGAAGGUUUUCUGUCUUUUUCUUAUGUUCCUGAAGGAGUUCAUAGUAUUAGCAACUAAUAGUUUUUUUUCUAUUUUGUCUUAUUGUAAAAUAGUUAAACUUUCUCAUCCCCACUGCCCUGUUACAAGGAUACACGUGGAUUUUCUGUAAGACUUUCUGGUCUAUCAUUAGGACUGGUUGAAUAAUAUACCUGGAACCAUUUAUCUGAUGAAUAUUGAUUACAUUUAUCACUUAAAUUAUUCAGGGCUAGAUUGAGAGCGUACUUAGUCCUAGCCCUGCAUAGAGAUACUGCAUAGCUGUCCUAUGGAAGCAGCUCGGGGAAAGAACUAUGCAUCCUAAAAAUCACAAUUAUUUCCCUGGUUCCACUUUGCUCCAAGGAGGAAGCAAAUCACUGCAGUGCUUUACUGAGACUCACUUCCCCCAAAAACCUUUGUGUUGAAAUAAAUCCACUGGUUGGUAUAUUAGGGGCAUGUGGUAUCAAAGUUCUGCCCACUUCCAUCCCUCUUGCCCCACUCCCCACACACUUGCUUGUGCAAGAAGCUGAUUUCACACUUUCAUCUGCAGUGGUGAUCAGCCAGGCCAUGAAAGGGCUGUGGGGAUAGUUCUCACAGACCCUUACUCCCCUACCUGGAUACCAAAGGGCAGUGACAAUCUUGCCCUCAGUAACUCAUUUCUUCUUACCUUGUUGGACCAGCUGCCUAAGUGGCUGAAUAUUAUUUGCUGAACAAUUUAUUUGACAAAUUUGUCACAUCAAUCAUCAAACACAUUAUCUGUGAAUAUUUGUUUACAUUAUUCAACCAGCUGUAUCUAUCCAAAAAGCUGAGGGUACAAAGAAGCAAUACACCCUAUAAAGAGUGCUGCUUACUCACUUGUAGCCAAUAGCCAAAAGGCCUGGACACCAUUUUAUAUAACCUGGCCUAAAUGUUCAUGUUCUAUGUACAGUGUGGGAUCUUAUUCUGUCCGCAGUACCCAUGAGAAACCCUGAUUAGCAUGAAUACAUACACACUUCAAGGGGAGAACAGAACCAGGGGAGGGGAAUGUUUCUUGUUUUGGAGGCAAUCUUUCAAUAAGGAAAUUCUUAAUCAUUUUCACAUCUGUAACUAUCUAUUAAUAGGCAUCUUGGAUUGGGUAAAAUACAUGUUUCA